AACGAACGCUGGCGGCGUGCCUAACACAUGCAAGUCGAACGAGAAAGGGGCUUCGGCUCCGAGUAAAGUGGCGCACGGGUGAGUAACACGUGGGUAACCUGCCUCUAAGAUUGGGAUAACUCGUCGAAAGAUGAGCUAAUACCGAAUAAGACCACAGUUCCCGCGGGAACAGGGGUCAAAGGUAGCCUCUGCUUGCAAGCUAUCACUUAGAGAUGGGCCUGCGCACCAUUAGCUAGUUGGUAGGGUAACGGCCUACCAAGGCAAAGAUGGUUAGCUGGUCUGAGAGGAUGAUCAGCCACACUGGAACUGAGACACGGUCCAGACUCCUACGGGAGGCAGCAGUGGGGAAUAUUGCGCAAUGGGCGAAAGCUUGACGCAGCAACGCCGCGUGAGUGAUGAAGGCCUUCGGGUCGUAAAGCUCUGUCGGGAGGAACGAAUGCUCCUGAGGUUAACAGCCUCGGGAGGUGACGGUACCUUCAAUGGAAGCACCGGCUAACUCUGUG
rnacentral:rRNA from 1 species